rnacentral:tRNA from 1 species
CCCUGGUUAGCUCAGUUGGUAGAGCACUCCAAGGAAAUGGAGAGGUCCCGGGUUCGAUACCCGGAUCCGGUA